rfam:Schistosoma curassoni strain Dakar, Senegal genome assembly, scaffold: SCTD_scaffold0000051
AUCCAUCUGACAAGUCCCAAAUAGGACGAAUUGCGUAUCCUGGAU